GUGAGGGGAAGAUGAUUGUAUUUCUGCUCCAGAGCCGACUACCAGUGCCGAAUUUCUUUGUCAUUAAGCUGUGUUUGACUGUAGAAGCUGAGUUGCGCCAGAAAGGCUGGGGUCGACCGUCAAGGUCGGCAAAGAUUCGCUCCAGGGUUGCGCAGAGCAACGCUUUCAAUGUCACGCCGACGCUUUUCCUGUGAGAAAGGCUACUCUGUAAACAAGACAACGAAUGGAAAGUGGAUCCUUUUCAAGUUGCCUGAGGAACUCUGAAGGUUUCAGAUAGGCGAUGGGUUGGGUUUGGUCCAUCUGAUUGAUGUAAAAGUGGAAAAUGUGACAUUAAGGUGAGGAAGAUACGCUGCUUUCAUGCUAAAAAAUGGAAGAAAUGACCCUUGACUUCCCUUGAAAUUCAACAACACCAAAGUUUUGGGAGAAAAAUAUGCAAAAAACAUACAUUAUCCAACAAGGAGCAGCUGUUAAAUAUUUUUCUGACUAUUAAUUGACUGUUACAAUCUCUUGCUGUCGUGCGGGUUCAAUGGACCACCCAGGAAGGACAUUGCUUUUGAGCAGGUUUGACUCUUGUUUAUUUUGCAAUAAAGCUUUGUCUU